rnacentral:rRNA from 1 species
AACGUAGGAGGCAAGCGUUAUCCGGAGUUACUGGGCGUAAAGCGCAUGUAGGCGGUUAUGCAAGUGGCGUGUGAAAGCUCCCGGCUAACUGGGAGAGGACACGUCAGACUGCAUGGCUAGAGGGUGUUAGAGGGGCGCAGAAUUCGGGGUGUAGCGGUGAAAUGUGUAGAGAUCCCGAGGAAUACCAGUGGUGGAAGACGGCGCCCUGGGACAUUACUGACGCUGGAGCUGCGGAAAGCCGUGGGGAGCGAACGGGA